rnacentral:rRNA from 1 species
UAAAAUUUAAAAUUAAAAUACUAAAAUAGUAAUUAAUUAUUUAUUGAAACUUAAAUAAUUUGGCGGUAUUUUAGUUCAUUUAGAGGAAUCUGUUUAAUAAUUGAUAUUCCACGAAUAAAUUUACUUAAUUUAUAAUUUUGUAUAUCGUUGUUAUAAAAAUAUUUUUUAAUAAAAUUAAUAUUUAAAAAUUAUUAUAUAAAUUUAAAUCAGAUCAAGAUGCAGAUUAUAAUUAAGAAUAUAAUGGAUUACAAUAAAAUUAUUUAAAUGUAUAUUAAUUUGUAAAAAUUAAUUGAAAGUGGAUUUAAAUGUAAUUUUAUUUAAUUUAAUAAAAUGAUUAAAAAUUAAAAUAUGU